rnacentral:rRNA from 1 species
CUGAGACACGGACCAAACUCCAACGGGAGGCAGCAGUAAGGAAUAUUGGUCAAUGGAGGGAACUCUGAACCAGCCAUGCCGCGUGCAGGAAGACGGCCCUCUGGGUUGUAAACUGCUUUUAUUCGGGAAUAAACCUAUUUACGUGUAAAUAGCUGAAUGUACCGAAGGAAUAAGGAUCGGCUAACUCCGUGCCAGCAGCCGCGGUAAUACGGAGGAUCCAAGCGUUAUCCGGAUUUAUUGGGUUUAAAGGGUGCGUAGGCGGCUUAUUAAGUCAGGGGUGAAAGACGGUGGCUCAACCAUCGCAGUGCCCUUGAUACUGAUGAGCUUGAAUGGACUAGAGGUAGGCGGAAUGUGACAAGUAGCGGUGAAAUGCAUAGAUAUGUCACAGAACACCGAUUGCGAAGGCAGCUUACUAUGGUCUUAUUGACGCUGAGGCACGAAAGCGUGGGGAUCAAACAGGAUUAGAUACCCUGGUAGUCCACGCCCUAAACGAUGAAUACUCGCUGUUAGCGAUACACAGUUAGCGGCUAAGCGAAAGCGUUAAGUAUUCCACCUGGGGAGUACGCCCGCAAGGGUGAAACUCAAAGGAAUUGACGGGGGCCCGCACAAGCGGAGGAGCAUGUGGUUUAAUUCGAUGAUACGCGAGGAACCUUACCCGGGCUUGAAAGUUAGUGAAUCAUUUAGAGAUAGAUGAGUGAGCAAUCACACGAAACUAGGUGCUGCAUGGCUGUCGUCAGCUCGUGCCGUGAGGUGUUGGGUUAAGUCCCGCAACGAGCGCAACCCCUAUGUUUAGUUGCCAGCACGUUAAGGUGGGGACUCUAAACAGACUGCCUGUGCAAACAGAGAGGAAGGAGGGGACGACGUCAAGUCAUCAUGGCCCUUACGUCCGGGGCUACACACGUGCUACAAUGGAUGGUACAGAGGGCAGCUAGCCGGUAACGGUAUGCCAAUCUCACAAAGCCAUUCACAGUUCGGAUAGAGGUCUGCAACUCGACCUCUUGAAGUUGGAUUCGCUAGUAAUCGCGUAUCAGCAAUGACGCGGUGAAUACGUUCCCGGGCCUUGUACACACCGCCCGUCAAGCCAUGGAAGUUGGGGGUACCUAAAGUAUGUAACCGUAAGGAGC